AACGAACGCUGGCGGCAGGCCUAACACAUGCAAGUCGAACGCCGUAGCAAUACGGAGUGGCAGACGGGUGAGUAACGCGUGGGAACAUACCCCUCGGUUCGGAAUAACUCAGGGAAACUU
rnacentral:rRNA from 1 species